rnacentral:rRNA from 1 species
AAUAGAUACCCAGGUAGUCCACGCCGUAAACGAUGAGUGCUAAGUGUUAGAGGGUUUCCGCCCUUUAGUGCUGCAGCUAACGCAUUAAGCACUCCGCCUGGGGAGUACGGCCGCAAGGCUGAAACUCAAAGGAAUUGACGGGGGCCCGCACAAGCGGUGGAGCAUGUGGUUUAAUUCGAAGCAACGCGAAGAACCUUACCAGGUCUUGACAUCCUCUGCCAACCCUAGAGAUAGGGCGUUCCCCUUCGGGGGACAGAGUGACAGGUGGUGCAUGGUUGUCGUCAGCUCGUGUCGUGAGAUGUUGGGUUAAGUCCCGCAACGAGCGCAACCCUUGAUCUUAGUUGCCAGCAUUCAGUUGGGCACUCUAAGGUGACUGCCGGUGACAAACCGGAGGAAGGUGGGGAUGACGUCAAAUCAUCAUGCCCCUUAUGACCUGGGCUACACACGUGCUACAAUGGAUGGUACAAAGAGCUGCGAACCCGCGAGGGUAAGCCAAUCUCAUAAAGCCAUUCUCAGUUCGGAUUGGUAC